AGUGAACGCUGGCGGUAGGCCUAACACAUGCUAGUCGAACGGCAGCACAGUAAGAGCUUGCUCUUACGGGUGGCGAGUGGCGGACGGGUGAGGAAUACAUCGGAAUCUACUUUUUCGUGGGGGAUAACGUAGGGAAACUUACGCUAAUACCGCAUACGACCUACGGGUGAAAGCAGGGGAUCUUCGGACCUUGCGCGAUUGAAUGAGCCGAUGUCGGAUUAGCUAGUUGGCGGGGUAAAGGCCCACCAAGGCGACGAUCCGUAGCUGGUCUGAGAGGAUGAUCAGCCACACUGGAACUGAGACACGGUCCAGACUCCUCCGGGAGGCAGCAGUGGGGAAUAUUGGACAAUGGGAGCAAGCCUGAUCCAGCCAUACCGCGUGGGUGAAGAAGGACUUCGGGUUGUAAAGCCAUUUUGUUGGGAAAGAAAAGCAGCAGGUUAAUACCCCGCUGUUCUGACGGUACCCAAAGAAUAAGCACCGGCUAACUUCGUG
rnacentral:rRNA from 1 species